rnacentral:misc_RNA from 1 species
UUUCCGUAGGUGAACCUGCGGAAGGAUCAUUCAUAAUAAAGUGUUUUAUGGCACUUUUUAAAAAUCCAUAUCCACCUUGUGUGCAAUGUUAGAUCUCGUCAAUCUUGGCGAGAUUUUAAUACAUCAACUCAUUCUUUAACUAAUUUGUCUGAAAAAUAUUAUGAAUACUUAAUUCAAAAUACAACUUUCAACAACGGAUCUCUUGGCUCUC